AUUUUAUCUAUGGGUUGUAUAUUUAUAUUUUUUUAUUAAAGUUUGAUUCUUGCUUGAAUUCUAAUUUUAUAAGAAUUUAUAUGUAAAUUUUAGUGGGUGUUAAUAAUAUUCAUGAUUUGGAUGGUAAAGUAAUAGAAGUCGCAGUAUUUAAUAUUAAAUAUUAAGUUAUUUUAGAUUUAAUUUUGUAAAAUUGAUUGAUUAAGUUCGUGCCAGCAGUCGCGGUUAUACGUGAAAUUAGAUUAGAAUUGUUGGUUAAAUGUGAAUUAUAUAAGAAGUAGUAAUUUAUGUUAUAUAUGCAUAUAAUAUUUGUUGGGUGAAAUUUAUAUAUUAUUAAUAAUAUAAUUAAGUUACCUGUAUAUGUCAUGAAAAUUAGAUUUUAAUAAACUAGGAUUAGAUACCCUGUUAUUCUAGAUAAUAAAUAUUAGGUUACCUGGGUAGUAAAAUAAUUUGAAACUUAAAGAAUUUGGCGGUGUUUUAUUUUAAUCAGAGGAACCUGUUCCGUAAUCGACAAUCCUCGAUGAACCUUUCUUAAUUUUGUUAACUACAUUUUGUAUACCGUUGUCGUAAGAAUAUUCUUUUAGGAAUAAAAAUUUUCUAAUUAUUAUAAAGAUAUAAUGUCAGAUCAAGGUGCAAACAAUAAUUAAGUGGAAAUGGGUUACAUUAAAUAAUUAAUUAUAUGGAUUAUAAAAUUCAAUUUUUAUAUGAAGGUGGAUUUGAUUGUAAUAAUUUAAAUUAAAAUAAUAUGAAAAUUAACUCUAAAACAUGUACACAUCGCCCUCACUCUCUUUUAGUAAUGAGAAAAGUCGUAACAUAGUAGGUGUACUGGAAGGUGUAUCUAGAUUUAUAAG
rnacentral:ncRNA from 1 species